AUGGAGGAGCAGCUAGCGGCGUUGCUCCAGUCGGUCCAAGAGGGGCGCGCCGCCAACGACGCUAAGUUGGAGGCGAUCCAGCAGUCCCUGGAGCUUUGGCGCCCGGUGGUUCUAAAUCUUCAAGGCCAACUCGACGAACUCCGCACACAAGUGGGCAGGAUCGCGAUCCACCCCGCGCUCGCGGAUCCAGCACCGCCCACGGUGGUGCAGCAAGUGCCGCCACCGCCGUCGGCCGUUGAAUCGGGGCACCACGGGCCAAGUGGCCACGGCGGGAUCGACAACUCCGGGGGUUUGGUACACGGGGUGGUCACCACCCUGGCACCGCCUCCGGUCAAGGAACUAUCCAUGCGGGUUAAAAGCAUAAAUAUGGGGGAGGAUCUCUCUUCCUAUAGAAGCAUAUCGCGAUGA
rnacentral:rRNA from 1 species